UACAGAGGUCCCAAGCGUUGUUCGGAUUCAUUGGGCGUAAAGGGUGCGUAGGCGGCGCGGUAAGUCGGGUGUGAAAUCUCGGAGCUUAACUCCGAAACUGCAUUCGAUACUGCCGUGCUUGAGGACUGGAGAGGAGACUGGAAUUUACGGUGUAGCGGUGAAAUGCGCAGAUAUCGGGAAGAACACCCGUGGCGAAGGCGGCUCUCUGGGACGGUACUGACGCUGAGACGCGAAAGCGUGGGGAGCGAACAGG
rnacentral:rRNA from 1 species